UUUGACCAGUCAAAUCCUCUUAUCUCUUCUCUCUCUUAUCUCUUCUUCUCUCUCCUCUCUCCUCUCUCUUCUCUUUCCUCCUCCCCCACGUGACCGUAUUCUUCUUCUUCUUCCUUCCUCCACACGUCCGAGCGAGCGAACCAGGAGCAGAAGAAGAGCCGACGAUCGCAGCUCGCCGAGAGCCGUCGCACCGCCGCCCGCACCUGCGCCGCGCGCCCGCUGCUCGCCGCCGUCCCGCCGUCCGCGCGUGUCCCCGCGUCCAUCGCCUGCUGCCGUCCCUGUCGCGCGAUCCAGUCUCUGUUCGGCCUCUGUUCAGCCACCGAGAGCGGCUGAGCAGGCCGCCGGAGCCGCCGUCCGGCCUCACCAGAGCUCCGCCCGCUCUCCCGACCUCUUACCGCCCCCAACCCUCUCUCUUUCUCUCUGUUUUGCAGCUGACCCAGCAAACCCACAAAAUGGGUUUCCAGCGGCUUUAGGCCCGCUUUUGGGCCGUUUCCGGGCCCCGGAUCCGUGAAUCGCUUUGGGAAGUUUCGUUCCUCGCGUCGCCGCCGUCGGAUUGAUCCGAUUUGUGCGCGAUUUGGUGAGUAAUCUCACUAAUCCAGGAUUAGUUGGCUAAUUAUGCUUAAGGUUGGUUUAGAUUUAAUUAAUUAUGUUUAGGUUGUUAGAUUAGAAUAAAUUAGCAAUUAUUAGCCAAUUGUGAUGCGAUUUAGAUAAAUUGAUUGUGUAAUUAGCAAGUAGACGUGGUCUACUAUUUAUUGGAAGUGUCUCAGGAUUUUUUCCCGACCCUUAGUGGGCUCCAAUUAGGCUUUUUCGGGCCUAAGUGGAUUUUUUAGUAUUUAAAUAUUAAUUUUCGGAAUUAAAUUAAAUAAUUAUUUAUUUUCCGAAAAUUCAACUGAGAUGGCCUGGUCAGGAAAGGAGCUAGCUAUGACCAUGGUGAAGUCUGUUUAUUUAACAGGGCUUGAUUUCGAGCCAAAUUGAAUUUUUAAUAUUAAUUAUUUAAUUUCUGAAAUUAAUAAAUUAAUUAAUUAUUUUUUCAGAAAAUUAGGAUUUUGGAUGGCCGACGACCGAAAAUCUCCGUGCUAAUCGUCGUGGUGCAAUCCGCUUAUUUCUUUGAGCUCCACGUUGUAUGGAAUUGAAUAAAUUGUGAUAUUUUAGGGAUUUACCCUAAUUUGAUUGGAAUUGAUAGAGAUUGAAUAAACCAAGUGUGUUAUUUAGCAUUUAUAAUGCUUUGUUGAGUUGAUUUAAUUAAUUGAUUGAGAAAUCGUUGGGUAUUGGUUAUCACCUGAAAGGAAGCACGUGGGCUCGGUGAAUUGGAAUAUCACCUGGAAAAUGCACGUGAGUUUAGUGGUUGAUUAUAUUGAAUUGUUUACGUUGGCUCUGUGAUCAGUGUAUCACCUUGGCGAAAAAGACGCCCGAGAGCAUAUUGAAUUGUUUACGUUGGCUCUGUGAUCAGUGUAUCACCUUGGCGAAAAAGACGCCCGAGAGCAUAGUAAAGUGUUCACUGUAUGUCAGCUUGUGAGAGCAAUGAGCAUUUAUCAGCUUGUGAGAGCAAUGAUCGUUUAUCAGCUUGUGAGAGCAACGAUCCAUAUAUCAGCUUGUGCGAGCUACCAUCUAUAUCAGCUUGUGAGAGCAUUGCAUCCAAUUCAGCUUGUGCGAGCCAUAAUUGUAUUGAUGGAUGAAUAGAUGGUAUGGUUUAAUAGAUGAUAUGAAUUGAUAGAUGUGUGGAUCGUAUGAUAUCAAUUGGAUUGACUGAAUUGAUAGACCGAUGGGUAUGUCGGUAGUUUCAGCUUGUGCGAGCAUUGUUGAAUAUGAAUUGUACUGACUUGCAGGUGAGAUCUGAGGCCAAGGUAAGUCCUCUACCCUGUGCGUGUUUAGGCAGCCUGUAGUAUAAUAGUUUACUAAUCGGGCUUAGUGGGGUAGAACUCGCUGAGACGUAGUCUCAUCCCAGUUUGGGGAAACCAUUUCAGGACCCCGAUGAGGAGCUGAUGAGGAGGAGUCUGAGAGUGAGAACUCGGAGGUGAAACUUGAGGAGAAGGAUUUUCGGAAGAAGAAGAUAAUCCCGAGAGGGGCCUUAAGUACAGCCUGGAUGGAUUGAGAUCCUGUCUUCUUUUGAGAUCUCCAUUUUGAUGUGAAUAGUUUUGAAGUGGUUUGUGUUUUGUAUAAAAGUUUG
rnacentral:lncRNA from 1 species